GUCAGCUUGGCCGAGCGGUUAAGGCAUUGGGCUUAAAUGUGCGUGGACAACCCCCACGCACAGGUUAUCCAACGGGGAUCCACCCCUCGCGGGUUCGAAUCCCGCAGCUGACG